rnacentral:rRNA from 1 species
GAUGAACGCUGGCGGCGUGCCUAAUACAUGCAAGUCGAGCGAACAGACGAGGAACUUGCUCCUCUGACGUUAGCGGCGGACGGGUGAGUAACACGUGGAUAACCUACCUAUAAGACUGGGAUAACUUCGGGAAACCGGAGCUAAUACCGGAUAAUAUAUUGAACCGCAUUGUUCAAUAGUUAAAGACGGUUUUGCUGUCACUUAUAGAUGGAUCCGCGCCGCAUUAGCUAGUUGGUAAGGUAACGGCUUACCAAGGCAACGCUGCGUAGCCGACCUGAGAGGGUGAUCGGCCCCACUGCAACUGAGACAAGGUCCAGACUACUCCGGGACGCAGCAGUAGGGAAUCUUACGCAAUGGGCGAAAGCUUGACGGAGCAACGCCGCGUGAGUGAUGAAGGUCUUCGGAUCGUAAAACUCUGCUAUUAGGGAAGAACAAAUGUGUAAGUAACUAUGCACGUCUUGACGGUACCAAAUCAGAAAGCCACGGCUAACUACGUG